GACUUUGAUCCACUUAGCAUGCCAGGACAAAAAAAUAUUAAAGCAAGAAAACAAUUAUAAAAACAAUUAAAACAAAAAAAAAAUGAAGUUAAAUCAAUUAGAGCACAUUUUCCCCAGCCGUCAGUAAUCACCAGGCUCUGUAAAUACACACGUGACCGUGUCUGACCUGUGGCUCAGGGUGGGAUUAUGGCCUGUACUGACAGCUCAAUGACAGGCCUAAACAUAUGAUUGACAGUCACAUAAUAAAGUAGAGUGGCAGAUGCGCGUCCGGAAAACUUAUUAAACUUAUUAAGUGCAACCGCAACAACUAGAAACGUGAAAACAAUGACCAUAAACCUGAACAGAGGACAAAAACUCACAGACUGUAAGAGAGACUGCGGCACACACGAACACGUCAACAACAAAAGCUUGACCACAAGACGCUGAAACGCAGGAACUCACACAGUGGUGCUAAUCAAGGUGAAACCAGACACAGGUGAGAGUGUUUGAAAGCGGUCCUCAUGCGAGAUGUCUCUAUGCUGAAAAAGGCCUUAGGCUGACAAAGUUCCUUAAGAGCGAUAUCCUUAGUGUAGCUGGCAGGAGAUGUGAAAUCCUCCACAAGGCAGUGAGGCAGAGCAAUCCCUUCUGCAUAGCUAAGGAGUGGCGCAAUGUCCAAGGCAGCGCAUGGAGCAUGUGACAUCCAUCAUGAAGCCAGAGGGGGAGCGACAUUCUCUGCAAAGCAAUAGGGGGGAGCAACAUACACCACGAAGCAGGGGGAGGAGCGAUGUCCUUAGUGAUACAAGGAAGCAGCGCGGCGUCUCCAUGGCGAGGCUGUGAGCUGUAAGGUCCUUAGUUCAGCAAGGAGGCAGAGCAAUGUCCGAACUGGGGCAGGAAGGGGGGUAGAUGGUUCUAGGUAGGUCGGGAGCUACAGUUUCCAUGAAAAGGGGCAGAAACUUCUGUCAUUUCUACCGACCUUUGAUCACCAAGAGCCAGCACAGUACAUUAUAGAAGACUACAUAUCACAUCAAUCUUCCUAUACCCGAUGUGAUCUUCUGCUCUUACAGCCCAUCCACUUCCAGAUCAAACGUGCUGUGCAUUCUGAUACGCUUCUCUGCUCACUAGUUGUAAAGAGCGGUUAUUCGAGUUACUGUAGACUUCCUGUCAGACUGAAACAGUCUCGCCAUUCUCCUCUGACCUCUCUCAUCAACAAGGCUCUUCCGCCCAACGCUGCUCGCUGAAUGUUUUUUGUUUUCUACACCAGUCUGUGUAAACUCUGGAGACUAUAGAGACAUCAGCAGUUUCUGAAAUAUUCAAACCAGUCAGUGUGACACGAUCAACCAUGCUACUGUCAAACCAUGCUCACUGAGUUCACAUUUUACCCCAGUCUGAUGUUCGAUGUGAACAUUAACUCAAGCUCUUGUUCCUGUUAAAGUAUCCGGGGAAUAUUUUCAACAUUCACAUUGUCUUGGUUUCUGUAAAAGCUUAGUUCAGUGUAAACUACAUAUAGUUUAUCGGGGAUUAAAGCAUUCGCACAGAACUUAACCUUGUAAGGUGUUAAACCAAACAAAUGUAACCAAACUGAAUUUGCAUGAUUAAAUAAUUACAUAUAAAAACACAGAAUUAUGUGUGUAGUUACAGGAAUUAGUUAAAUGUCUUAGUAUUUUAGGUAUAAGUAUUUCACAAUGUAAAGUACAAUUGCAUCAAUGUGUGUGUAUGUUGGUGUGUGCAACAGCCAUUGGUACUUUUGACCCAUUAAACCCAGCUGUACUUCUGCCACUAGUCUUUUAGUAAAGUCGGUAAAGAAAUAUUCAGUGCUUCGAGUCAUGACUGAGCUCCUAAUAUCAUUUUAAUCAAAGUAAUAUAAGUACAUGUGGCAAAUGUAAGGUACCAACUGAAGUAUACUGGUAAGCAGCAUUCAGCAUUUACAUGCAACCGGUGUUGGGGAGUAAUGAACUAAAAGUAGCGAUUCAAACGAAUAGCAGUGUAGCGCGACCUUGCGUUACUUUUUUUGUCCAAUUGUAGUGGUCCUCUUCAUCACAUAUCUGCAGAGGAUGCUUGCUUUACAGGAAUUAAGAGCCUCGUUGUAGUUCACAUGGAUAGGAAGUGACCAUCUGAUGGACAUGUAAAGCGACCAACCACAGUUCGUUACGUGAUGUAUGGGGCGGGGAAAUGAUAAUGGGGGACAAUUCCAUCAAACCCGACUGCCGUUGCAGAACAACUUCUUCUGUCGCUCCACCUGUGUCUUGCUGAGGAUGUCACUCUGCCUCCGUGUUCUGCUGAGAACAUCGCUCUGUGCUAUGGUCCUGUUACCCCACCCCCCUCGCCCUUCCCAGCUGGUGUACUUGCCCUCUCACCCACCCCGGUGGCACAGUGCUGCUCCCUUGCUCGGCUGGGGAUGUUGUUUCGCCUCCUGUCCCUGCCGGUGACGUGGCGCCGCCUCCUUGUUUUGUCGCACCGCCUACAUGGUUUGUCACGUCCCCUCCUUGUUUUGUGAUCACUCCCCCCUCUGGCCUUGCUGUGGCAGAC
ensembl:lncRNA